UGGAGCUUUAAAGGUCCUUAUGACCUCCUAAUUGAGAGGCCAAAUUAGAGAUAAUGUGUUUGGGGGCAAGUAGACCACUUGAACACCUUUAGUGUUGAGCCUACAGACUUCUGGUUGGCUAGGGGGUUGUCAAAUAUCAAAAAAACGUAAAAGACAGUCUCUUACUGGCAAGGUACUUCCUGAAUUCAGGGAAAAAGCGUUAAUGGAAACAAUCCAGAGAAAGGGUUAAAGUUGUCCAGUCUUUCUUGUACAACCAAAAGACUUGCAACUGGUGUUUAUCUUCCCUUCAAGCCUCAGGGGUUAGCAGCUUUAUUGAUAAGGGCAGUCCUGAUCAUAAAUCUGAUUGUAUGUACAUAAGUCAGUAGAGUUGGCUUUAUUUCUUGCUGCCUUAAAUCCUGGUGCUCACCCUUACAAAUAAGUGUACUUUUUUCAAGAAUAGGACAGUUUUGUCUGUAGUUAAAAAUUUAUUCAUGCAGACAUUCCUCCUCUUCAGUGAUUUUCUUAGUGUAUGGGAGCUCAUCUGCUGCCUCUUGCAGCAGAAGCUGCUUCUCCUAUCUUGACACUUUUUAAGCCUGUCUUCUUUAAAAUCAUCAAACCAUCCUUUGCUGGCAUUAAAUUCUCUAGCUUUAGGCCUUCACCUUCCCUUGACUUUAAGUUGUCAUAUAAUGACCACUGUCUGGAAUCAUAUUAGACCAUAUAACUAUGCCUUUCUUACAACAAUUCUGCACCCACAUAAAAACUACAUUUUCAAAAUGAGAUAAAAACGUAUUUCACAAAAAAGUACAAUAUUUCUGUACUUGCUGGCAUAGCUGCAGCAACUGCUUCACACAUUUUCUUUUCUCUCUCUCUUUUUUUUUUUUUUUUUUUUUUUUUUUUUUUACAGUAGUUCUUGUGCUAGAUUCAUUUAUCUUGGAAUGGCUGGCAAUCCAGCUGCACACCUCAAUUUACAGUAUAUUAUCAAGCGAUUCAACUUUUUCUCGUAAUGUCAUGACUUCUCUGUUUCUUUGGAUCACUUCCAGUACCACUGGUGGCAUUUUGUAUGGACUCCGUGGUGUUAUGGUUUUGCACUAAACAUGAAAAACAUGAGAACCAUGAAAGAUCACUUUUUACAGCACUAUGCAAUUUACUGGAGAGAUGAACUGCUCACACAGAGAUAGCAUCACAUGGCAUUUUAAGUGGAUACUCACAAGACCUCACUGCAAUAGCAACAGGAGGUGGCUAUGAAAUUAUGAAGUGAUACAGUAUUAACUACAGUUAAUUUUAUGCAUGUGUGGUUUAAUAUCGCAUGUUUGCAUUUGUUUACAUUUCUCUUGACUGGGAAUGGGACCAUGUCUGUAAGUGUAUAAGUUUUGAAAAAUUUUAACUUUUUAUAAUAGAUUUGUUUGUGUGAAUUUUAUGGUAGUAAAUGAUAAAAAUAGACUAGUAUCUACAUAUUUUUAUAUAUUCUUGACACCUUUUUCUUAAUUCGGUCAAUAUUUUUAGGCUACAUUGUUGUCUGAGUUUUUUCAAAUUGUGGUGUGUUCAAGGGUCAAUUGUAGUUGGUCAGUUCCUGUCCUAGACUGUCAUUUUCAUUUAUGUAUGGUAUCUGUCUGGUUCACUACAGAAUCCCUAGUGUUUGGCUUGUAUUAGGGCCUCAAUAAAUUAUUGAAUGAAUGAAUCAGUGAAUGUUCAGAAUGGCAUAUUGGAAAAAAAAUUGAACUUGAAGGUAAAAGAUUAGAAACUAAAUGUAUCUUUCAGAAAACUUAAAUUUUCUUUUCUUAUCAGGUGACCAUGACCAAAAUCAUGUAUUUCUUAUUCUCUAAUUUCCUAGUCUGUGAAAUGGCAGUAUUGACUGCUUUGUGUGCCUGGCUAUUUGGGAUUAAGUACCAAUAAAUAAAUUUGAAAAACCACAAAAAUCAAAACAUCACAUCCCUUUCUACAUGAGUUCACAGUUUACGUCUGGAACAGACACAUGAGCAUGAGAUAAAAUGAUAAGUACUACUGCAUGUGAAAACACUUAGACUUAUGAAGUGCUUCUGUAAGAUACAUUUUUAAAAUGGUUAAAGUCAGUUGAAGAUUUGUUAAAAUUAUCAAGAUACUGCAAUGUGUGAAAAGUUUCAUAAAAAUUAUCUUUUUCUUGGUCUUGUUUCCAUUUUGGUAAUGGUGUAAGUAAAAAUGGAGAGCGGCAGAUGCACUAAUUAUCUCAGAUGUUUUCCUUCCUCUCAACUUCCCAGUUGUCAAACAAAAAGCUGGACAGCAUACAAAACUAUUGGACUUAGAAUCUUACAAUAUUCUGACCUUGUGUGGUUUGCCAGCCUAUGACCGAUCAUCACAUAUGACCACUGUUUUGCUUUCUAGCCAGUGACUUUGUGAACAAAGCAUAGCAGUACAGAUAUCCUCAAAUACCCUCACUCACGUACCUUGAAAAAGUCACUUGGGUAGUAAACCCUAUUAGUUCUUGCGCCACUAACACAAGAGCAAUUGAGACCCUAAACUGUGUUUGCCUUAGCAACAGAAUCCAGUAGUAAAAACUCAGCCAAAAGACCAGCAGUAAGAAAAGUAGUCAAGGUCAGGGCCAAACUAUCUGCUGGAGUGAAACAUUGAAAGCUUCCAAUGAGGCUUUAAUUAGACUGAAAAAACAGCUCGCUGUUAAACUGUUUUGUGUUUCCCAUGCAUAAUUUACUCCCAUGCAUUUUUAAUUCUCUCAGUGAUCAAACGUCUUCUGGAAAAGUGCUAACUUCCUGGAGAGGUAGCACAAACACUGUUACGUUUUGUUAAUUUUUCAUUUCAUUUAUUUAAUAAACAGUUUGACUGUUACAAUCUGCAAGAAAUAACAUUAAUCUAAGGCAUCUCCUAUUUUGGUUCUAAAACCAUGACUCUUGUGCUGACUUCCAUUUAGUCUUCUGAGACUGGGAGAACAAUGCCAGAUUGAUUCAUUUUGUCUUUAAUUGUUGUAAAGACCAUUGAGGGGUGAGGAGAAUGUUGUUUGAAUUUGACAUUUUGAACUGGGAAACAGCUUGGAAACGUAGGCACAAUUCCAGGUAAAUAAGCUAAGUAUACUUAUGUGUGUAUGUAUAUGUAAGUCUAAUUGCUUAAAGGUAUACCUCUAAGAUUCCAAAUUGAUUGAUGCUAGAAGGCAGCUGUUUGAGGACCAGAGGCAUGGCUUAUGUACAAAGUGAUAUGGAAAAAAAUAUAAUUGGAUCAUAGAAAGACAGUGUUAUUUAAUCAGGAUUUGAAAUCUGGCAGCUCUCCUAGGAGAAUAAAAUACUAUUGGAUUGCAUUUAUUUGUGGACAUCUUUUAUCUUGCCUCUACAUUGCCCUUAGGCACUGUAACUCCUGGAACAGAAGGCGUAAUAAUAGUUACUUGGUAGAUACCUACUUGUUCACUGUCCAUUCAUUCAUGCACGUAGACAGGUGAUGUUUGGGAAGUAUCACAGCUGCAGUCUGGCAGAAAGAACCUGACAGUGAUUCCCUCUUCUUUCCUAGAAUGAGGGAGUAUGGAGCUUUUCAUUUCAUUUUAGAGACAAAUUGUCUGCACAGGAAGGAAACACAUGGGUAGCUGUGUCUUUGUUCAUUUGGCUAACCAGGCCAGAACUGUGGGUCCAUCUCUGCAUAUGCCACUUAGUGUUUCUCUACUCCUAACCACAGAUUUGCACUUGAACCUUUGCCAGCUGUUUCCCAAGUGCAUGCCAUUGGAUGUGAGGGAGACCUGAAAUGAGUGCAGAUAGAUCCGCUUAAAAUCAUCACAACUUUUUCAAACAAAACGCAUAAAGCAUGAAGCGCUUAGUGGCAGAUCAGAAGUUUUAUCUUUAUGUAUUCAAAGGUCAAAACAUUUGUAACACGUGCUGCUGUCAGAGUAAAUGCUGUAUGAUAGGAACAAAACUUAAGAAGCCUGUGACAAACUUGAAUAUUGAGACUUUUGUUAUCGUUUUAAUCUAAAAAAUUAAAUUUUUUGCUGACAAGUUAGUAUAACCAGUCCUAGAAAAUAGUGGUUGGAAUGAGAAUGAUCUCAUUGAUUCAGAAAUUGCCGAGAGGUCUACAAAACCAGUAUGCCUCCUGUUUUAAUAGAGGACAUAAUUAGAGAACGUUCUUAGUUGUCUAGCUUUCUUGCCCUGGGAUUUGUGCCUAGUUGUUUGAGGAUUUGUAGGACUCAGAUUUCCCUAACAAUCAACAAUCCUUUUUAUUUUCUUUCUAUUUUCACUUUUAGUUACCAUCCAUCUAUAAUCAUUUAUAUAAUUUUAAGUGAUCUUGAGAACAACCUUGUAAUAUAAAUCAGGCAUUAGUCUUGAAGUUUACCUGGUUAGUCAUUUGGUAACCUUUUUUUAUCUGACCAUUAGUGACUUAAACAACUCUGAGAAGAACAGUUGACAAUAAAGUGGGAAAAAAAAAAGCAUAGGCCUAUACUAACAAAAUUAAUUCUAAGAUACUACAUUCUCUUACUAGGAAACAGUGUGAAAGUUUAAAUAUCAUUCAUCAAAGUUUUUUUUUAAAGUUAUACACUUUUUUCCCCCACUUCUAGAGUAUCUAAGGAAAAAAGUAAAAGAACUCUCUUUGGCAUCUCUGGACAGUUGAAUAGACAAGGAAGAACUGUAGUCUUUUUUUUUUUUUUUCAGCUAAAUUACCCUAAGAACACUCUGCUCCAACAUAGGAAUGCCAUGGAACAAGAGAUGGUAACACAAGAUACACCAGGAGACUCGAGGUUUUGUGUGUUUGAAACUUAUAUUCUACUAUAAUGACUAAAUUGUAGAGAAGCAAAACUAAUGUGUGUGUGUUUUUUUAAGAUUUACCCAAUGUUUUUUUGGUUCUGUCUUCUAGGAGCGAACAAACUCCUUUUGUUUUUUGUUUGUUUGUUGUUCUUAAAUGUUCACCCUCAAAUUUUAUAAAACAUUAUAAAAUGAGAAAAAUUUAAAGUUAUACUAUAUUCAAACUUUUAAUGUUUUUAUUAUAUGUAUUUGCUCAAAAUAGAAAUGCCAAAAACAUAUAAAGAUACAAAGUGGUAUGCAGUUUAUGCCCUACAUAACUUAAUUUAAAUUGGUAGGACUAUUUUUAUCUUUCAACUUUUAAUUUUCUUAUAAAAAUCAAGUAAAUACAACAAUUAUUAUUAGCUGAAUAGCAGAUGAGAUCUCAGUAUUUAAAAGAACAGAUUUCUUCUUAUAAACUUGCUUUUGAUUUUAAUUCAAGAAUAAUUAUGCUGGGUUCUUACGUAUGACUGGAGGAAAAAGCAUGCGGUUGUGUGUUUUGGCAUGUGUUCUUCUAGAUUUUUCAGUGAUGCUCAUGAUAACCAACAAGGAAAACUUAGAUUGUAAAGCCUUCUUCUAUACCAGAUUCUAAUCAUUGCUCUGAGAAAAAUUUCAACACCUAUUUGUUACUUUUGCUUGAAGAUUUUAUGUGUAUACAUGUUGAUGACUUUUAGUGGUAAAUAGGGAUAUGAAAUUCAGAAGAAUAAACUUUUGGAACACAAUCAAAUAAUACCUGCACAAUCUGUGUUUCUUUCCAGCCCUAUUACUGUUGCUUGAAAAAAGAUUUGGGUUUUGGUGUCAGAAUGAUGGUGCCUCAUCAAAUGAGUCAGAUGAUUCAUAAAGGAGCUUGUCAAGUGGCACCUCGAUUCUCUCAGCUUACAAAUUACUUUGCAGUAAUAUAAGCAACAAAACAAAACAAAAACCAGGUAUGUACCAUUUUGUGGGCUAAGAUUUAGCUACAUUUGAUCGUUCUUACUAAAAGUAUAAGAUUUUAAUUAUUAUGUUAUAAACUAUGAAAAUAAUAUUGAAUUGUGAUUGUAAUUGUACUUACCACACAAUGGUUCAAAAAAUAUUGUUCGCUUUCAAUAGUUAGAGCAAUGAAUGUAGUGGCAGAGAGAACAGAGAGAGAUCUAAUUGAUACCUUCUACUCAGGAAAUAAGAAGUGAGUCAUCUGAAGGACUGAUGGGAGAAGAGAAUGUCUUGAUAUUUGCCAAUGAGUUUUCUGAACAGGGCUAUUAGCCACAUUCUAUUUUUCUUUCUGUGCUAUAUCCAGUCACUUACGGUGACACAGAGAACAGGAUAAUAUGGAUAAAAAAAUUCCCAUGGUGCAUCCUCUGCUGUCACUUCAACCAGUGAUGACUUUUUUUUUCUGAACGUCAUUGCAAUUUGAAAAAUCAAACUUCUUAGCAUUCGUUUCCCAUCAUAUCCUGUAAUGAGAAGUAAUAAAGAAAAGAAAUUAGAAUUUAACAAGGAAAAGCAUCAACAUCACAGCGCUGGUGAACCUACAGAGAGGCAGCAUGGUAUUACAGCAGGGCACAGAUGUUAGGAUUGGAAAUACAGUAUUUAGGUUCAAAUCCCAGCCUGUCACUUACCAGCUAUUUAGAUAAAUUACUCAAUCCCUAUGAGCCUCAUUUUCUUCACUUUUAAAUUGGAAAAAUAACACUCAUCAUAAAUUUUGGGUGAGAAUUAAGAUCACAUAAUAGAUUGAAUUCAGUAUUUGGGAAUACAGAACAAGAAAUAGUUGUUAGUAUUGGCCGUUAUUAUUUAUAAUUAUACAUUUCUAAAAUCGCUACAGAGUAAUGGAGUUGACCAUAUUUAAGUUUCUAUCAUCCCUUCUAUUUUAACAUUUACUAACUGUAUGACUUUGAGCACAUUAUAUAAUUUCUCUGGCCUUAGUUUUCUUGUCUGUAAAAUGAGGAUAAAUGUAGUAUUACCUAUUUCAUAGUAUCCUUAUAAGGAUUAAAUAAAUUAACACUUCUAAAGCUCUAGAUAGACAGUGCCUGGCACAUGAUAAGUAUGCAAUAAGUGUUAGCUAUUACUGCUACUACUAUUAUUAUUAUCGUUAUUGUUAUUAUUCUCAACCAAAGAUUAACAAAUACUAAUUGAACACUAUUAUAGUGACAGUGUUGGUAAAAGAAAAGAUUUGUGAGUUAUACUGAAUAUUAAACUGGAGUAUUGAGCCUAAAUUUGUAGAACUAAAUACUCAAAGUAUUUGACUGAUUAAUCAAUGUAUGCAUUAGCAAUUCAGAAAAUGGACUGUGAACUAGACAUUAGGAAUAAUCAGAAAGAGCAAUAGUCAGUAUUUGAGGAGAACUGAAUACAUGGGGGAAAGAAAAGAGUUUUCUAGGCUGGGACUAAUAGAGCAAAGUGCACAUGGAGAAAAACGUGUCCACCAGCAGUAAGAUAGACACAAGAAAUUGCAAAAUAGUAAAGUGAUACAAUGGAUUACUAUACAGCAGAGAAGAUUUACUAAUUAUGCCUGCAUGUCAAUGUGAGAAAUCUCACAAACAGAAUAUGGAGUGAAAUAUACACAUCACAGGGGAAAAAUGAUAUUAUUCUACUUCUAUAAAAUUCAAAUGCAAAAUCAAGCUACGUUGUUAAGGAAUAACAUGUAAAUAAUAAAAACUAUUAAUAAUGAUUAUCACAAAAGUUAGGACAGUAAUUACUUCUGGGGAAGAGAAAAGAAGUGAAGAGAAGGGCAGAGAAUGAGUUUCUAAGAAUAUUAACAAUGUUCUAUCAUUUCAUUGUGUGUGUGUGUGUGGUGUGUGUGUGUAUGUGUGUGUCUGUGACUGUGUGUGAACUUCAGUAUUUGCUUUGCAACUGUUAUUUUAACAAGUAAAAGUGUGAAUGAGGUCCAGGAAGUCAGCAAACCCAACCAGAGGGUACAGUAUGUUGUGGAGUAGCAGGCAUUGAAACAAAUAAGGUGAUACUCAAUCCAUUUCUUUGUUACCGCUGAGCAGCAUCCAAUUAGUUGCUCCUCCACCCCUACCCCCAGUAAGCUUAAAACUCUCAAUUUCCUCAAAAUCCAGAGAUAAAUAAUGAAAGUCAUCAAACAGAGUCAAGGGAUCGCCAAGGAGGGUAUUGAAUCCUCCAAGAGGAAUGCUACCUCUGACACCUAGCUAGCUGGGCAGUGGGUAUCUGGCACAGGGCAAGAGUGAGGUGUUGAUAGCCGGAGGUUGUCUAUCAAUAUUAAGGGCUUCCUCCUUACAAUUGAAGUCCUUAUUCCAGUUGACAAAUGACACCUCACUGAAAAGGACGGUGGAAUUCAUUUCGCUGUCGAGGGUAUGGCUGAAGUAGGUCUGAUCAGUCCUCAGUGGGGAAAUGGAAAAGAUCGAGUGAGGAUAAACCAAAGGAAUGUACUUUUACUGUGGAGAUCAGAAUGAGACGCAGGCCGAUAUACGUGCAAGUUUAUCUCCUGUGUCCGAAAAUCUGUCCCAGACAUUCCAUUGCUCAUUGCUGUCUUUCUUUUAAACCUGUUGUCAAGAAAAUAAGAUGCAAGCUGAGCAGGUGGGAACCAGAAGCAAAAAAUUUAAUACUGUAUUUUAAUGCUUUUAGAAUCUAGUGAGCCACAGAAAGAUUCAUUCUGAGCUCUUGUUAUCUUUUAAUGGCCAACCAGGUAAAAGCUGGAUAUUUGUAAGUAUUUUUGUGUUAUUUGGGUUCAGUUAAAGCCAGUCUCUCUCUCUCUAAUAAUUAUUCCGGGAACAAGGUAAAUGUCCAAGACUAAAUAAAAGUGACAUUAGAAUACCAUAGCAGGUAAGUCUUGCCUUGCUAUGAGACUUAUUUUGUUGUUGAUGAUGUAGUCUAUAAAGUGCUAGAUACUUUACAUAACCCCCCAACCACCUUGAAAAAUUUAGUUUUUAGAUAAGAUAGCAGAGGCUUUGCGAGGUUAAAUAACUUGACCAAGAACAUGUAGUGAAAUAAGGAGCUAAACUCAGUUCUGUGUGAACUCAAAGCAAAAACGAGAGGUGAUAGCUACUUUCUUAAGAAUAGAAAGGAGAUGACUUUACACAGAAUCUUAUCCAAGCUGGUCAGAGAGGUGAAAGGCCAAUUCCCAGAGGGAUUGCUAUAUUUAAGGAAAGUCUUUCUUAACUAGUGAAAGACUGGAAGAUGAUGCUAUUUACUGGGAAGAACAAAGUUGCGACAGCUUCCUAAGGGAGAAAAAGCUACAACCCUUGAAAGAACUGGGAGAAAGUGGCAUGGAUCCCCAAACUGGAAAGACUCAAUACAGUAUAUUUGGAUAUAGUCAUCUGAGAUUUUGAUUAUGGUCCCAUUUUUACCACUAAAUUGAACUUUGAGCAAUCACUUCACCAACUUGGCAAAUGUAAACUGCAACAUACCACAAUGUACUGAAGUUGAAAAAGUGAGAUAGGAUACCUAGCUUAGAUCCAUAUCAGCCUGGCACAUGGAAGGAGCAAAGAUAUCACACCAAGCUAAAUUUAAAUGUUUAUACAUCUUAUUUUAUUUCUUCUUAUAAGAUAAAAAUGAACAUAAAAAGUAGUGCUAACAUUUUCUUCCUGCACUUCAUUGGAUUGUUUUACCACCCCAUGGCUUUCAGGGACAUGGACUGAAUGAAAUAAAUGAUAAGGCUUGGAGAAUGGCAGUUCCAACUGGAGGCCUCUACCUUGGCAAAAGAUCAGCCAGGUCAAAUAUACUGAGAAAAGUAUUGACUUUAGAAAUACUAUAAGGCAGGUGGUUAGGAGACAGAGAUGUUAGAAUUCUGAACUAUAGCUCUUCUGCAAAAAUGCCCUGUACUUUUGAAAUGUAGAAACCUUUGUUUUGGCCAGGCAUGGUGGCUGACGCCUAUAAUCUGGGCACUUUAGAAGGCCGAGGUGGGAGGAUCACUUGA